rnacentral:tRNA from 1 species
GGGGGUGUGGUGCAAUAAACACAACACUCUUACAAAUGUUCUCUGGUAAAACAGUAGUGGUUAGUAAGAGUUACUUCGGUUGACACAAUAGUCUUGUAAAACUAUCUCAUAAAGGUUCGAGUCCUUUCACCCCCA